GAUGAACGCUGGCGGCGUGCCUAAUACAUGCAAGUCGAGCGAACAGACGAGGAGCUUGCUCCUCUGACGUUAGCGGCGGACGUGUGAGUAACACGUGGAUAACCUACCUAUAAGACUGGGAUAACUUCGGGACACCGGAGCUAAUACCGGAUAAUAUAUUGAACCGCAUGGUUCAAUAGUGAAAGACGGUUUUGCUGUCACUUCUAGAUGGAUCCGCGCCGCAUUAGCUAGUUGGUAAGGUAACGGCUUACCAAGGCAACGAUGCGUAGCCGACCUGAGAGGGUGAUAGGCCACACGGGAACUGAGACACGGUCCAGACUCCUACGGGAGGCAGCAGUAGGGAAUCUUCCGCAAUGGGCGAAAGCCUGACGGAGCAACGCCGCGUGAGUGAUGAAGGUCUUCGGAUCGUAAAACUCUGUUAUUAGGGAAGAACAAAUGUGUAAGUAACUAUGCACGUCUUGACGGUACCUAAUCAGAAAGCCACGGCUAACUACGUG
rnacentral:rRNA from 1 species